UAUUUUUUAACCUUGAUACAUUUGUACCUCUUGUAGUGUCUCCUUCAGCAUAUCUCUUGUAAAAAUUGCUGAUGCAGUAGCUGAUUGAUUCAUUUUUCUUUUACUAGCAAGAAACCAAAUAUUUCAAUGUAGAAAUGGUGGCAUGGAUAGGAAGAAGAUCAUUGCCAUAGAUUGACUUGUAGCAAUCUGCUCCAACUACAACUAGAUCGAACACUGAGCUCUGAUUUUUCAAUCAAAUAUUUCCGCAACACAUCAUCUUGAUUUUGGUAAAGAGACUGCAUGGUGGGGACCACCUGUGAACACAGAUAAAGUACUAGCUUCUAUAUAUAGUCUUUU